GAUCCUGGCUCAGGAUGAACGCUGGCGGCGUGCAUAACACAUUCAAGUCGAACGGAGAUAGAAGCUUCGGUUUUAUCUUAGUGGCGGACGGGUGAGUAACGCGUGAGCAACCUGCCCCUGUGUGCGGGAUAACGUUUGGAAACGGACGCUAAUACCGCAUGACCCAACGGGACCGCAUGAUCUUGUUGGCAAAGAUUCAUUGCACAGGGAUGGGCUCGCGUCCGAUUAGAUAGUCGGCGGGGCAACGGCCCACCAAGUCGACGAUCGGUAGCCGGACUGAGAGGUUGAACGGCCACAUUGGAACUGAGAAACGGUCCAGACUCCUACGGGAGGCAGCAGUGGGGAAUAUUGGGCAAUGGGCGAAAGCCUGAACCCCAGCGACGCCGCGUGAAGGAAGACGGUCCUCGGAUUGUAAACUUCUUUUAUGUAGGACGAAGAAAGUGACGGUACUACAUGAAUAAGCCACGGCUAACUACGUGCCAGCAGCAGC
rnacentral:rRNA from 1 species